GCGGCCUUGGGGCUUUGUGAGAUAGAUGGGGUCGACUUGUUUGGAUUCCAGUGGAGUGGAGCUGACCCUACCCGAACAGGCCUCUGCCCUGCUUGGAUAGAGACCUCCGGAGAGGAGUAAAGAAUGACUGUUGAACAUCCUCAAGGCAUCUGCAAGAUCUCCUACAGACGCUGCCUGAGACCCAGCUCUGUGUCUCCUCAUCAUACAGCUCGUGGCGCUCCGACUGCAAGGCCAUUAGCAUGGCCUGGCAGGGGUUCAGCUGGAGGGCCAUGGAGGAGGACAGGCCAGCAGGAUGCCGCCUCUGCUCCAGGGCAUGCACCGUGAGUAAGAGAUUCUAAUUAUAUAUACAUGUAUAAACAUAUAGUCACAUACACAGAGCAUGAUACUGUAUGUUUUGCAAUUUGUAGAUAAUUGUCAGACCUCAUCAAAGGACUAUUAAGAAUAAUAAAUGUGUUGAAAGGCUUAAAUGGCAGGGGUGGGUGGAGUUCAGUGACUGUGCAAGGGUAUACUGGCAAAUCACUAGCCUCCAACAAAUGUAAUAUGCUGAACACAACUG